CCAAUAGCGUAUAUUAAAGUUGUUGCAGUUAGAAAGCUCGUAGUUGGAUUUCUGAUCGAGACAUCAGGUCGGGUCCGAGAGGAUCAUGUACUUUGAUUUUGUUUUGAUCAUCCUUGGGGAGAGCAUUUCUGGCAUUCAGUUGUCGGGAUUGGGAUCCUCAUCGUUUACUGUGAAAAAAUUAGAGUGUUCAAAGCAGGCCUCGGCCUCUGAAUACAUUAGCAUGGAAUAAUAAGAUAGGACUUUGGUGGUCUAUUUUGUUGGUUUGCACGCCAAAGUAAUGAUUAAUAGGGAUAGUUGGGGGUAUUCGUAUUCAAUUGUCAGAGGUGAAAUUCUUGGAUUUAUGGAAGACGAACUACUGCGAAAGCAUUUACCAAGGAUGUUUUCAUUAA
rnacentral:rRNA from 1 species